UUGGUUUAUUUUUGAAGUUAUGUAUUUGAGUCCUAUAAUUUAAAUUUACAUCUUCAAAUCAUAAAAUUGCGAUCAAAAUGUUGAAGUUAAUUCCAAUAAUUUCAAUUUGCAGCUGCCACAUACAGAAUACCUUUAUUUAGGAGUAGAGACUUGUUCAUUCCAAAAUUCCAUCUCAAGCAAAAAAGAGAUCCAGCUGGGACUUGUUUUCUUGAUCAAUCACAUCAAGGAACAGGGGAUCAACGGUCACAUGACUGUCCACGUGAACCUUAAACUUGUGCUCCCACAGCACUACCUUAGCCGCUCCCUCAACAUCCACCUUAGCAUCCAGCACCAUCUCUCGCUUAGCUACGUCACUGAAAAACUUGGAGGCAUGGUGGGCCAGCUGGAGCCCAUCGAGCCGAGCCUGGAGCCGGAGCAACUUACAAGACCUGGAAGGCUGAGAGCCGGCCUCCACCUGAGCAGAUCCGAGGAGAGAUCCGUCGUAGAAGAUGGACAUGGUGGUGGAGGAGUAAUGAACUGGGGUGAUGUUGGGGUUGGUGACGUGUACUGUGAGGAGUAGCUCGGCGUCGAGGACGGGGAGGUUAAGCUUGAAGGAAGUGAAGUCGAUUGAGAACAAAUGGAAGGUUGGAUCUUUGGGCUUGGCGCUAAGGAGGGCUGUUACCGCCGUAGCCGAUGCUGCUCCGAUGAAAGCUGAAGUCCAGCUCCAUUUGACCUUUUUGCCCAUGAAUUUAAUUAGCAGGCAUGCAUGUAUGUUCCUUCUUUGUAGUAGUGAAAUUGUUAUUUCCAGAGUUGCGGAGAAAAAGGUACCUUUGGCCUGAUGAGUUGAAAUGACGGAAAUGAGGUCGCUGUGGAACAUGGUCUACCAGUUAAUUGGAGGAGAUUUUGGUAUUUUGACAAAACAUAAUUUUGGCACGUUUGAUGGAAACCCCGCGUCACGUGGAGCGCUUGUCUGAAAUCACGAAGGCUCAUUUGGCGUAAAGAUCUUUUGCUUGAUUCCAAGGGUUGCCUGAAAUCCCUGAAACUAAUAUGGGGAAAGUUGUCAAGACCGUGUGCUAUCAGAUUUCC
rnacentral:misc_RNA from 1 species